UAGUAGGAAGCAUUUAUUCACUUCUUUACAAAUCUAUCUUAAUCUUAGACAGUCGGCGGAAAACGGCUGUCUAUUUAUCUGGAAAAAUUAUGAACUCGUCAGCUAGUGGUCAGUUGACGAGUUUUAUGUU
rnacentral:ncRNA from 18 species